rnacentral:rRNA from 1 species
AUUGAACGCUGGCGGCAGGCUUAACACAUGCAAGUCGAACGGAUGUAGCAAUACAUCAGUGGCAGACGGGUGAGUAACACGUGGGAACCUUCCUAGGGGUACGGAACAACUCAGGGAAACUUGAGCUAAUACCGUAUACGUCCGUGAGGAGAAAGAUUUAUCGCCCUUAGACGGGCCCGCGUCGGAUUAGGUAGUUGGUGGGGUAACGGCCUACCAAGCCUACGAUCCGUAGCUGAUCUGAGAGGAUGAUCAGCCACACUGGGACUGAGACACGGCCCAGACUCCUACGGGAGGCAGCAGUGGGGGAUAUUGCGCAAUGGGCGAAAGCCUGACGCAGCGACGCCGCGUGGGUGAUGAAGGCCUUCGGUCGU